rnacentral:rRNA from 1 species
AAACCGUUCAGGGGUAAACCUGAGAAACCCGAAAGGUCGAAAGAGGAAAUUUCAUUCGCGUUUCGGCGUCGAAGUUAGGCGUUUGUAUGACGAAAGACGUUUCGGCGUUUUUCGCUUCUUUCGUUUUUCGAGUCGAUGUCGAACGCGUGCACUUUUCCUCUAGUAGGACGUCGCGAUCCGUUGGGUGUCUGUCUAGGGCUCGAGGUGGAGCCCACGUAAUUUCGAUUGCGUGGACCCUUGAUGUCCCGACAGACUCGCUCGACGGUAUACUAAUGGCGUGGGGCCGCUACUUAAGUUAGCGUUCGGCCCGUAGCAAGCGCGUUCUGUGUUGACGGCCAUCGGACCUGGUGCCGAUUCUGUCCCGGAACGACUGUUGGUUACGGUGUUCUCGAACAGACCUCAUAUUUGAAACGCCGAUCAKCKACGCKAUAKAUUU